ACCUGAGAAAGUCUUCUCUGCAGCCACACCUGUAACUCAACAGCCACAGAAGCCUCUGUCAUCUCUGCAGAUCUGCACGGGCAGCACUGAGCCCCAGGAGCGAUGGAUGGAUCCCACAAAACCAUGGCUCAGCCUGUGGUGUCAUCGGGGACACACUACUCACCCCUGCGAUGGGAGACGGACUUGUGUUCAGCAACCAGGAAAGGAGCCUGAAAUGUCCUCCCUGCAGACGCACCUGCAACUCAAUAGCCACAGAAGCUUCUGCCAGCUGGUUCCUGCCAGGUUGUCAGUGAUUAUUCUUUUAGGAACAUUAUCAGUAUACCUGCACGAGACUUCAGAGGCUGGAAAUCUUCAUGGAGCCAAGCUGCUGGAGAAGCCUUCCUAGCAUGCUCAUCUAGAAGGGAGCACAGAUGAGAACCAGUUCCUUGUGUGCUGGCAUCCCCCUCUGUCUGUGGGAACUUGGCACUGCAAGGGGCUCAGGGAAGGCCAUGGGAGCCAGAUGUGAAAGGACAAGGCCAAAGCUGCACAGGGGCCUGGGGAGCUCUGGGCUGUCUCUUGGCCAGUCUCCACACUUUGGUAGGCCCUGUGCCACAUCCCUGGGAGGGCAGCUGGAGCAGCCCAUGGGCCACGGGACUUCACUCCCUCCCACAGAGGAAACCCUCCCUAAACCCCAGGGGAAAACCAUCCCCAGCGCUUCCCCGGAGAGCAGGGAGCGCUGUCCUGGGAAAGGGGAGCCAGGCUGCCGGCUCACCUGCUCCCCGCGCUUGCAAUGGAGCAGCCUGGGCAGCCCUGGCAGGCAGGGCCACGGCCAGGAGGAGCAGGAGGAGGAGGCGCAGAGCAAGGGCCAUGGUGCCUUGCCCUGUGCCAGUCCCGCCGCUCUUGCUGCCACCACUGUCCUGACACCGCUGUCCCAAUGUCAGCACCACUGCUGCCACCGCCGCUGCUGCCGCAGCAGUUGUGCUCAAGGACUGCCUGCUCGGGCGUUGUGGUGCUCUGCAACCACGGAGCUCUGGGACCUCUGUGACCUCAGAGCCUGCUCUGACCUCAGCCUGCUGCGACCCCAGAGCCUGCUGGGACCUCAUGGCCUUAGCUGUACCCCAGAGUGUACCCCCUUUCUGUACAAAUGGACUGCCCUGAGUGUAAAUAUUUUGCUUCAUCCAAGGGCCAUUGCUCAGCAAAACCUUUAUUUUGCCUGCUGACAUUGCUGGUCAGACUGUGUCCCUGCAGAUGCUCUUGAUUGUUGCAGUACAAAUUUCAUUUACUGUUUCCUUCUUAGGUGCUUCGUUCUGUUGUACCCCCAUGUUCUCCCCGAGUUUGUUCACCCCUGGCUUUUACCCUCCCUCAAAGCUGACCCCCAUGCCAUUCCCCGCCCCUUGUUCCAGCUCUUUCCCUGCCUGUCAUAGCAACCCAGCCCCUUGGUCCCCGAACCUUCCCUGGCACUUUCCCAUCGGGCCAAUCCCAGAUUGCAACACCUUUUUGGGAUGCCCCAAUUCCUCAAGGCCCCAUUGGCCCGUGUGACCCAUCCUCUCCACCCUCCUACCCCAAUGGGCUCCAGACACUGGAUGUGAUCCCCUCACUCCUCCCCUGAGGAUUCCCUCUUGGUGAGCUGUUUGUAUCCACCCCUUGACUUGUAUCUUGCACAGGAGUGCCGUGGGCUCUCUGUUUCUGCUCUCUUCACCUGAAAUAAACUCUUUCUUGUGGAACCUCAA